UACAGAGGUGGCAAGCGUUGUUCGGAAUUACUGGGCGUAAAGGGCGCGUAGGCGGUCUUCUAAGUCUUGUGUGAAAUCCCUCGGCUCAACUGAGGAACUGCACGGGAUACUGGAAGACUUGAGUCCGGAAGAGGCAAGUGGAAUUCCCGGUGUAGCGGUGAAAUGCGCAGAUAUCGGGAGGAACACCAAUGGCGAAGGCAGCUUGCUGGGACGGUACUGACGCUGAGACGCGAAAGCGUGGGGAGCAAACAGG
rnacentral:rRNA from 1 species